UCUGAAUCUAGCCCUGAGUCAAAAGACACAAUGAAUUAUGACAAAAGUGGGUGUAUUCCAGAGAUGGGAGGUUAGAAAAUAAUACGAAAAUGAUAUUAUUCUGACCUUACUCUAUUACUCAGCCCCAAUUCCCCCACACUUUGUGAACCUUUUUGUGAGUACAAUGCUAAGGCAGUUUAAAAAAAUGCAACUAUAUACAAGUUCAUCAAUUCCAGAUGUAAAGUCAAUAGCAAUUCAAGUGAUGACCACAGCAGUAACCUGGAGACCUGCAGUCUCAAUGUAUCAGAUCACAACUUAAAAAUAUCUCCCAAAGUAAAACACCAAGUACAAACCCCAGGUAAAUGACGGUCCUGAGGAACAGAUGUCAGGACAUCAGAUGUGAAGUUAAAGGAUCCAUCUAAAGACUAUCUGUGGCGACCAAAGGGAGCCACAGUGAGGCAGCCAAACGUGAGCACUGAGAUGAAGGAAAUAGGCCCGAAGCAGCCUGCUCAUGCUCUGAGACUGGAGGAAGAGGGUGAACGCAAUCUCUGGAGGGAAGCCCUGACUUCAGGCAGCUCAGGCACAGAAUGACCCAUUACACUGAGUAGAUACUCCCGUCUGCUAUCAGAUGCCUGCCUAGUGUCACAGCAUCUCAUCUGCAAGAUGACUCACAUCUCGUCUGUGAGAUAACCUACAAUCUGGGUUACAUGCAUCUGCAGCACCUCAUCUGCAAGAUAACCCCCAAUCUGGGUUAUAAGCACAGAACUCAUCUCCUCAGGAAAUGAUAUCAAAUAAUAAGAAAUAAA
rnacentral:lncRNA from 1 species